rnacentral:lncRNA from 1 species
AUUCAUUUGUUAGGUUCUAGAAAGAUGGAAGCAGCCAGAUGGCAUAAUGGAUAGAGUGCUGGGCUUGGAAUCAUGAAGACCUGCGUUCAAAUCCAACUUUAGCCACUAAUUAGCUAUGUGACCUUAGGAAAGUUUUUGAUGGAGUAAAGCCCUGCCUGAAAGGCUCUCCUCUGAAAGAGUGUUUACCACGAAUUCAUGAAAAUGAUUCAAGACCGAAGAGUAGAAAGCAGCAGAGAUGCAAGAGUCUAAUUUGGAGAAAUGGAUUCCUUAUGAACGGUAAAAUGUUCCAAGUUCUCUUAUGAUGAUAUUUCCAUUAAAAGGAGACAGGUUGUUUA